AAUGAUGACAGGCACAAAAGUACCCAAGCGGUGUAUGCCUGGGGUUCUCCCAAGUGCUCCCUUGGGAGGUUGUGGCUGAAACUGGAAGUUUCCAUCUGGUCGCGUGUGUGCAGACCCCUCUGGGUCUGGGCAGUGGACUGUCAAGGCGCCAGCAGGACGUGCUCGUGCCUGAGGGUCUGUAGUGGAGCUGGCAUCUCCAGGCCCGGCUGUCCCUCUUUGGGGGCUGGCCUUGGGCAUCGCAGAAUCUUGCAGGAGUGAUGACUCCUGCCAGACGCUUCUCAUCAUCCUCGCAGGAACCUUCUGAAUUCACUAUUUGGAACCAGCCCACAGUCACUGCGCCACGGGCAGCCAUCCUUCUAGGCAGAAAGCAAACCUAACAAGGCAGAUGUGUGAGUGCCUAAAAUUGCUUAGAAAGAAAAUUUUCAGAGAAAGAAAAAAAGACUUUAAAAAUAUUUUCAACAAUGAAAACAACAUCUUGGAAAUAGAGAACCUUCUAGGGUGAUUCCUUUAGCGUUCUCUUCUCUUUUGGUCUUGAAGAGCUCUACUUUACUAUCGUCGAGCUGUGUGUCUCUGGGCGUGUCCCCCUCUGGGCUGUGCACAAGCGGGCUCUAGGUGUGUCCCCGUCUCCAAGCAGCUCGGCCAGCAAAGCGUUUCUCCACUGCAGGGAAUUUCCAGGAGGCAGAUCCUGCCUCAGCUGCGGUGCCUUUCCCGAAUGGACGGUCCAGGACGGCAGGGACCUGGUCUGGCUCACGCUGCAUCCAGUGCCUAGAGAAACAGGCUUCAUUAACUGACCACCCGCUUUGUGCCAGGCACUGUCUUAAAUGCUUUAAACGCAUCAUCGGAUCUGAUCCUCACCAUAGUCCUACAAGGAUUUUGACCCAAGUAGGAGAAUGAUGCUCGGAGAAGCUGAGAAUCUUGCCCAAGGACAUAUAAUUUGACCCUCGCAGUCUGCACGUCUGCACGUACUCUUAACUGCCAUACCGACUUGGCCGUGAGAAUGUGCCCUUUCCACCGGCCCUGCACAUCCUCUGCUGGGGAACACCCCCCUUUUUCGGCCCUUGCUUGCUGAGCUCCCUGUGCCAGCCUCAGGGAUGCUGAACCCCUGCCGCCCCACCCCUACCACCCUGGCCUUUGGAGGGGGCGUGGAGGUGCACUCAUGCUUGGGGGAUCCAGAAUAUCCCACUGUGAAGAGGGUUGUUUUUCUCUUGAACGCCCUUUAUCUGAAAUCAGGGCCUCCCAAAAGAAUUCGACUGUCGUAAGUCCCCUCCCCAGGAGUUUUGCAACCAGAGAAGGUUGACUCCUGUCACCAGAGAGAAAUCUGCACUGCGAUAAGAAAGCUAUGAGAUCGCCCAUCUCUUCUCCUAAGGGCCCAUUUAUCUUUCCAAAAAUCGUUUGUUUUUCUGUAAGUUCUGCUCUCCCCUCCCCUUCCCCUAUGAAGAUGGGCUGUAAGCUCCAAAUUCUAACUACCUCCUUGAGUCACACUUUUCCGUGAACCCCUAUGCACGUAUGUGAACUAA